rnacentral:rRNA from 1 species
UAGACAUGGGGGCACCCUGACCGCAAUGCCGCGUGAGUGAAGAAGGCCUUCGGGUUGUAAAGCUCUUUUGUCAGGGAAGAAACACCGGCUCUAACACAGUCCGGGAAUGACGGUACCUGAAGAAUAAGCACCGGCUAACUACGUGCCAGCAGCCGCGGUAAUACGUAGGGUGCAAGCGUUAAUCGGAAUUACUGGGCGUAAAGCGUGCGCAGGCGGUUAUACAAGACAGGCGUGAAAUCCCCGGGCUUAACCUGGGAAUGGCGCCUGUGACUGUAUAGCUAGAGUGUGUCAGAGGGGGGUAGAAUUCCACGUGUAGCAGUGAAAUGCGUAGAUAUGUGGAGGAAUACCAAUGGCGAAGGCAGCCCCCUGGGAUAACACUGACGCUCAUGCACGAAA